CUCAGAUAAAGUUUAUCUGGAAAGUUCAGUCCUGGCAGGAUUACAGGUUUUCCUCUUGACUUGGCAAAAGUCUUAGGAGCAAAACAAGGCACUUCAAGGAAAUGACACUAAAUGCCCUGGUUUUUCUCAGGGACUGUGCACACUGCCAUGGCUAGAACUGGAAAAGCAGAGUAGAUGCUGAAGAAUGCUGCCCAGAUCCACACUUCAACUCUGAACUGAAUCAGCAUGGUCUGGGCAUGGAGGAUCCACCUGAAGAUUGUUACCAAUAGCCAUAAAAUGAGAACUGGAGGGGAAGAUCUUGGCCUGUUGAUUUUCUAAAAGAAGCUUGCUGAGGAUGGUUUUCCUGAUGCAAACUAGGAUGUUCUGGUCGGAGGAGGAGCUCAAGACCUUGCUGUCACUGAGAAUGGCUGCUGUUUUCAUCAGGGGAGCUCUGAUCUUCACUGUGAGCAUCACUUCCUGGCUCCAAUGUGGAUCCCUCAGCUUAGUGGCACAAAUCCUUCAUCUCACCAAUGUAGAUUUUUUGUCUUCCACCACUGGGGUUUAGGCCUUCCAGGUGCAGAUCCUCAGUAUGGACAAGCAUGAGACACUGCCUUAGACUCAAAGCCUUUAGCUGG
rnacentral:lncRNA from 1 species